UGGGAGGAGGAGGAGACGGUGAGAUGAGGACCAAUUAAGACUUUAGGAACACCACCCUUCCCCCAGGAGUUGGACUAUGAACUCGGGUUUCCUGGUGUCAACGCAGCACCUCGCCACGAGGCCAGGGCUCUGCUGUCCUGGGAACAUGUCCUCUGGGGCAGAGGAGCCAGCUCUAGGGCUCGCACAGGCUGUCGGUGUCUUUGUCUUUCAAAGCUGGCCUCUACCUGCCCUGUGGUAUUUUGGUGUUAUGCAGCCAAUCUGCCAGAUGACCUUGUUUACAUGUGGCUUAAGGGCUUCACUAGAAAUCCUCUUUUCCAGGAUGAAAGAUGCAUAGAGAGGGAAAAUAAAAAAUCCCAAUGUUUUUCGGCACGUCUGUGCAUCUGGGGAAACCUCUCCUCCCAAACUGCAAUGUCCUCUCCUCUUGGAGAGAUGCCAAGUCCAGCCUGCUUGUUCCUCGCCAGGAGCUACAGCAAGGCUUAACGAUGCUGCAACAGAGAUCACACUCCAGACCUCAUUUUCCCUUGGCAAGAUGACGGCCCCCUCUACAGGCAUCCAAGGCACGGAGUCAUGGCACAGCUAGAACCAGAUGCAGCUGGCAAGCCAAGAGCCCAGCGCUGCUGAAGAAUCAGCUCCUGUGGGGUCAGGGGAAGAACAGAACAAAACCUUCUCCUCUCCAGACGUCCCACCGCUGCCUGCAGAUGUAGUCCUCCUGCCAGGUGUGAGCAUGUUCGACCUGCUGCUAGACUCGAGGCCUUUCUUGCCCUGGAUGCUCAGCGCUCUCACCAUCCACUGUGCUCAGCUGCAGAUAGGGCUGCUCAGCACCACUGAAAAGCGGCUAAAUAGAGAUUUUCAUGCUGACGUUAAGAUAGCCAGUGUGCAAACCUCUGCUACAUCUUCUGAGGGUGGAAAACAGACUGGAGAAAUGAAAGAGAAGGUGUCAUUCCAGUCUCGUGCCAGGUAAAAGGCAGCAAGCGUCACUGGUUUUGCUCCAAAUGGCAUGGCUUUGUGCAGGGCUUGGCAAGCUGGGGCUGCUGCUUCUCUCCAUGAUCCUUCCGUCCCCUGUGGCUGGCAGAGCAGCGGGUAGUUGGGUGCACGUGCCGGAGCCUGCGCUGCCCACGGGAUGGUACUGCAGUGGGAGCUAUGAAGAAACAGAAGUAGUUAGCAGCAAAUGAUGUGUGUCCUGGCUGGUGGUGUGACUGCUGUCGCCAGCCUGGCUGUGUGAUGGCCAGAGGGUUCCUGUGGUGCCGUUAUCUCACGUGGAGGCAGGAGGGGAAAUGAUAAGGCUCAGACGGUGCGGUUCGUGGUCCUCAACAAGCAGCGCAAGUGUGAGUCCCUUUGAAGUUUACUUGUGACCCUGCUGAGAUCAAUACCCUGGGCUAGCAAAGGGGAGGGAGAGAAUCAGGCAGAAACCUGGAAAAAAGGACUUUGAAAAUAAUAAGCCCUGUCUCUUCAGCCUGAGGGGAGAAAUGUUACCUCUCAGCCCCAGGAACCAGGUACUGGACUAGCCCCUAGAGAACCAAAUACACAUAGAAGGGCUGUGAUUGAAACCCCCCUUCUUGUGUUUUGCUGCUGCUGUUCAAAAUCAACUAUAUUUGCUUCCAGAAGAGCUGUUUUGUGUUUCUGUGGUGACACAUGGAUCCCAAUCUUACCGGGAAGCAGCAGAAUGGGCACCCCAGGACCUGGUCUGAUGAGUGGGGGUGCCCCAAGCUCUCCCCCGUCACUGGCACGACAGACCUGGCUCUGCUUCAGCCUCCCCGCUCUCAGAUUAGCCUGUGAGCUGCUGCGAGGGACGUGGGUCAGUGCAAACUUGCAGGCUGAGCCCUGCACUGGCACUGGAUGCCGGCACGCUUGCUCCUUCCCUUUCUGUGAUGGGGGCAAGGACCUUGCCAGCUGCUCGGUGAGAUUUGGUGGGGGGUCAUCUGCCGGAGCCCCCAGACAGAUGGGGAGGGUCAAAGGUACAGCUAGCCUCACACCAAGCUGCCCUCAGCAAUCCGGAUAUUAACAGUAUUGCAACACCAGUUAGAAGAAUUUGAAGGGUCAAAUUCCUUCAGAGCGUAACGUUGUUGAACUCGGUCGGUUUAGACCUCCAGUGAAUUUGGAGCAAGGUUUUGGAAGGCUGAUACCUUAACACAGACCUGUUUAAAGGAGUUAAUGUGUAACGGGCUACAAACCAUCUGGAGCAGACAGAUGGCCUGCCCUGUUUCAGCAGCUGGUUUUGGCAGCUGGGACCCUGUGCGGUUCUCAGUGAUGCUGAUGUGAAUCCAGAAGAAAGCAGUGGAGGGGGGGAAAGGACUGCAGUUGCUUGCAUCAUCUGUAGAGCAGAAUUAGGCCUUUUUCCUGCAGAUUUCCAGCAGGAUGACUACCCAGGGCUUUCUCUAGAUAUGUAUGUCCAUAUUCUGAAACGCAGCCAACAUCCCGCUACUAAAAUAAACCCCACAAAUGUACCGUGUCUGGAACCAUUGCGAUUAAGAGCUACCAAAUAAGAAAAAUGUCAGAACACAAUCGAUUUAUGUCAAAUGCUCAACUGUUUGAAGAGUGUCCCUUUCUUUUAAGAGACCUUGCAGCUGGCUGAUAUUCAGAUACCGUGGAAAAUCCACUCCCCUCUGUGCACCAUGGAGUUCAGAAUACAGCUAAAUUAAAAACUAAA